GAUGAACGCUGGCGGCGUGCCUAAUACAUGCAAGUCGAGCGAACAGACGAGGAGCUUGCUCCUCUGACGUUAGCGGCGGACGGGUGAGUAACACGUGGAUAACCUACCUAUAAGACUGGGAUAACUUCGGGAAACCGGAGCUAAUACCGGAUAAUAUAUUUAACCGCAUGGUUCAAUAGUGAAAGACGGUUUUGCUGUCACUUAUAGAUGGAUCCGCGCCGCAUUAGCUAGUUGGUAAGGUAACGGCUUACCAAGGCAACGAUGCGUAGCCGACCUGAGAGGGGGAUCGGCCACACGGGAACUGAGACACGGUCCAGACUCCUACGGGAGGCAGCAGUAGGGAAUCUUCCGCAAUGGGCGAAAGCCUGACGGAGCAACGCCGCGUGAGUGAUGAAGGUCUUCGGAUCGUAAAACUCUGUUAUUAGGGAAGAACAAAUGUGUAAGUAACUAUGCACGUCUUGACGGUACCUAAUCAGAAAGCCACGGCUAACUACGUG
rnacentral:rRNA from 1 species